rnacentral:lncRNA from 13 species
AUGGAUGAAAUUACCAAGUAUGUUUCAAAAAUCCCAAGUGAAACAUCACUGCCUGUAACCAGUCAGAUGUCAAUGAGUACCACUGUUUCUUCAACUCCAACAGCAAAUACCAAUCAAUCCAUAGAAAGUAUAGCUUCCACUACAUCAAGUAGUGAUUCCAUCACUUGCUCUAAUACAUCAACAUUGGCAGUCCCUUCAAGUGAUGCCACCACUCCCUCAACAGUCACUUUUCCCUCCACUACAUCAGCAGUAACAUCAACUGUGGCCAACAUUCCUUCUACUACUUCGAAAGUCACCUCAAGUGAUGCCACCAAUCCCUCAACUAUGUCUACAGUCACUUCAAGUGAUCCCGCAACUCCCACUAAUUCAUUGACAGUCACAAGUGAUGUCACAACUCCCUCAACUACAUCAAUAGUCACUUCAAGUGAUCCCAAAACUCUGACUUCUACAUUGACAGUCAAAAGUGAUGCCACCACUCGGUCUACUAUGUCUACAGUCAUUUCAAGUGAUCCCAAAACUUCCACUACUACAUUGACAGUCACUAGUGAUGCCAUCAUUCGCUCUGCUAUAUCGACAUUGACAGUCCCUUUAAUAAGUGAUGCCACCUCUCCCUCUACCAUGUAUACAGUUACUUUAAGUGGCAACACAUCAACACCUACUUCAAGUGAUGCCACCCCUCCCUCAACAGUCACUUCAACUCAUGUAACUUCUCCCUCAACUAUGUCUACAGUCACUUCAAUUGAUACCACCCCUACUACAUCAACAGUCACAAAUGAUGCCCUCACUCGCUCUACUACAUUGAUAUCAAAAUUACAUUCAAGUGAUGCCACUAAUACCUCAACAGUCACUUCAAAUGAUAACAAAACUCCCUCAAUAGUCACUUCAAGUGAUGCCACUACUCCCUCGACUAUGUUGACAGUCACUUCAAGUGAUGCCACCACUCCCUCAACAGUCACUUCAAGUGAUCCCUCAACUCCCACCACUACAUCGACAUUGACAGUCUCUUCAAAGGACGCCACCACUCUUUCAACAGUCACUUCAAGUGAUGCUACAUCAACACACACUUCAAGUAAUGCCACCACUCCCUCACCCAAAUCAACAGUGUCUUCAAGUAAUGCCACCACUCCCUCACCCAAAUCAACAGUGUCUUCAAGUAAUGCCACCACUCCCUCACCCAAAUCAACAGUGUCUUCAAGUAAUGCCACCACUCCCUCACCCAAAUCAACAGUGUCUUCAAGUGAUUCCACCAAUCCCUCAACUACGUCAACAGUCACAAGUGAUGCCAUCACUCAUUCUACUAAAUCGACAUUGACAGUCCUUUCAAGUGAUGCCAUCACUCCCUCAACAGUCACUUCAAGUAAUGCCACCACUACGACAUUAACAGUCACUUCAAGUGAUAGUACAUCAACACCCACUUCAAUUGAUGCCACCACUCCCUCAACAGCAUCCCCAGUCAUUCAAAGUAAUACCAUUACUCCCUCAGCUACAUCGACAUUCACUUCAAGUCAUACCACCACCACCACUACAUCGACAGUAACAUCAACUGUGGCCACCACUCCCUCAACUACAUCAACAGUCACUUCAAGGGAUGCCAACACUCCCUUAACAGUCUCUUCAUGUGAUGUCACUACUCCCUCAACUACAUCAAUAGUCACUUCAAGUGAUGCCACCACUACUCCAUCAACAACAGCAGUCACUUCAAGCGUUGCCACCGCUCCUUCAACAUUCACUUCAAGUGAUGCCACCACUGCUACACCAACAGUAGCUUCAACUGCAGCCACCAUUCCCUCAACUACAUCGACAGUCACUUCAGAUGAUACUACAUCAACACCCACUUCAAGUGAUGCCACCACUCCCUCAACUGCAUCGACAUCAACUUCAAAUGAUGCCACAACUACUACACUGACAUUAACAGUCAUUUCAAGCGAUUCCACCACUCCCUCAUCUACAUCAAUAGUCACUUCUCGUGAUGCCACAGCUACUACAUCAACAUCAGCAUUCACUUCAAGUGAUGCCACCUCUCCCUCGACAUCAAUAUUUACUUCAAUUGAUGCCACCUCUCCCUCGACAUCAACAGUCACUUUAAGUGAUGCCACCUCUCCCUCAACUACAUUGACUUUCACUUCAAGUGUUACCACCACUACUACACCAACAGAAAUAUUAACUGUGGCCACAAUUCCUUCAACUACAUUGACAGUCACUUCAAGUGAUGACACCACUGCUUCAACAGUCACUCCAAGUGAUGCCACCAAUCCCUCAACUACAUCAACAUCAACUUCAAGAGAUGCCACCACUGCUACAUCGACAUUAACAGUCACUUCAAUUCAUAACACCACUAUUACAUCAACAUCAGCAGUCACUUCAAGUCAUGCCACCGCUACAACAUCAAUUUCAGUAGUCUCUUCAAGUGAUGACACCACUCCCUCAACAGUCCCUCCAAGUGAUGCCACCAAUCCCUCAACUGCAUCGACAUCAACUUCAAGAGAUGCCACCACUACUACAUCGACAUUAACAGUCAUUUUAAGCGAUUUCACCACUCCCUCAGAAACCACUUCAAGUCAUGCCACCACUCCCUCAUCUACAUCAAUAGUCACUUCAAGUGAUGCCACAGCUACUACAUCAACAUCAGCAGUCACUUCAAGCGAUAUCACUGUUCCUUCAACAUUUACUUCAAGUGGUGCCACCGCUACUACAUCAGCAUCAGCAUUCAGUUCAAGUGAUGCCAUCUCUCCCUCGACAUCAACAGUCUCUUCAAGUGAUGCCACCAGUACUAUAUCAACAUCAGCAGUCUCUUCAAGUGAUGCCACCAAUCCCUCAACUGCAUCGACAUCAACUUCAAAUGAUGCCCCCACUCCCUCAUCUACAUCAGCAGUCACUUCAAGCAAUAACACUGUUCCUUCAACAUUCAGUUCAAGUGGUGCCACCGCUACUACAUCAACAUCAGCAUUCAGUUCAAGUGAUGCCAUCUCUCCCUCGACAUCAACAGUCACUUUAAGUGAUGGCAGCACUCCCUCAACAGUCUCUUCAAGUGAUGCCACCACUCCCUCAACUGCAUCGACAUCAACUUCAAAUGAUGCCACCACUCCCUCAUCUACAUCAGCAGUAACUUCAAGCGAUAACACUGUUCCGUCAACAUUCACUUCAAGUGGUGCCAAAGCUACUACAUCAACUUCAGCAUUCACUUCAAGUGAUGCCACCUCUCCCUUAACAUCAAUAUUCACUACAAGUGAUGGCACCUCUCUCUCGACAUCAAUAUUUACUUCAAUUGAUGCCACCACUCCCCCAACAGUAGCUUCAAGUGAUGCCACCGCUACUACAUCAACAUCAGCAGUCUCUUCAAGUGAUGCCACCACUCCCUCGACAUCAAUAUUCACCUCGAAUAAUGCCACCUCUCACUCAACUACAUUGACAGUCACUUCAGACGAUACUACAUCAACACCCACUUCAAGUGAUGCCACCACACCCUCAAGUACAUUGACAGUCAGUUCCAGUUUUGCCACCACUCUGUCAACAGUCACUUCAGGUGAUGCCACCUCUUCCUCAACUACAUCAACGGUCACUUCAGGUGAUGCCACCACUACUACACCAAGAGUAACUUCAAAUGCUGCCAUCAUUCCCUCAACUACAUCAACACCCACUUCAAGUGAUACCACCACUCCCUCAAGUACAUCGACAGUCAGUUCCAGUUUUACCACCACUCUGUCAAUAGUCACUUCAGGUGAUGCCACCACUACUACACCGACAGUAACAUUAACUGUGGACAGAAUUCCCUCAACUACGUCGACAGUCAGGUCAAGUGAUGCCACCACUGCCUCAACAGUCACUUCAAGUCAUGAUACCAAUGUUACAUCAACAUCAGCAGUAACUUCAAGCGAUGCCACCGCUCCUUCAAAAUUUACUUCAAGUGAUGUCAACUCUUCUAAAUCAUCAUCAGCAGUCACUUCAAGCAAUAACACCGUUCCUUCAACAUUCACUUCAAGUAGUGCCACCACUCCCUCAAGAACAUCGACAGUCACUUCAAGUGAUGCCACCUCUUCCUCAACAACAUCGACUUUAACUUCAAGUGAUAUCACCACUACUACACCGACAGUAACUUCAACAUUGGCCAAAAUUCUCUCAACUACAUCGACAGUCACUUCAAGUGAUGCCACUACACCCUCAACAUUCACUUCAAGUGGUGCCACCGCUACCACAUCAACAUCAACAUUCACUUCAAGUGAUGCCACCAGUAUAGCGACAGUCUCUUCAAGUGACUGCACCUCUCCUUCUACAUCAACAGUCACUUCAAGUAGUGCCACCACUACAUCGACAGUCUCUUCAAGUGAUGCCACCUCUCUCUCGACAUCAACAGUCACUUCAAGUGAUGCUCACACCACAUCAACAGUCCCUUCAAGCGAUGCCAGCACUCCCUCGACGUUAACAGUCACUUCAAGUGAUGCCACCAAUACAUCAACAGUCACUUCAGGUGAUGCUACUGCUACAUUGACAGUCUCUUCAAGUGAAGCCACCACUCCCUCAACAUCAACAGUCACUUCAAGUGAUGCAACCUCUCCCACAGCUACAUCUACAGUCACGCCAAGUAAUGCCACCUCUCCCUCGACAUCAACAGUCACUUCAAGUGAUACUACCAAUACAUCAACAAUCAGUUCAAGUGAUGCCACCACUACAUCGACAGUCCCUUCACGUGAUGCCACCUCUCCCUCAACUUCAACAGUCACUUCAAGUGAUGCAACCUCUCCCUCAACAACAUCUAGAGUCACUUCAAGCAAUGCCACCUCUCCGUCGACAUCAACAGUCACUUCAAGUGAUGCCACCUUUUCCUGGACCUCAACUGUCACUUCAAGUGAUGCCACCGCUUCCUCAACUACAUCAACAGUCAAUUCAAGUGAUGUCAUCACUACAUCAACAGUCAGUUCAAGUGAUGCUACCACUACAUCGACAGUCCCUUCAAGUGAUGCCACCACUACAUCUACAUCGACAGUCUCUUUAAGUGAUACCUCCACACCCUCGACUUUAACAUACACUUCAAGUGAUGCCACCACUCCCUCAACUACAUCUACAGUCACGCCAAGUAAUGCCACCUCUAAGGCAACAUCAACAGUCACUUCAAGUAAUGCCACCUCUAAGGCAACAUCAACAAUCACUUCAAGUAAUGCCACGUCUCCCUCGACAUCAACAGUCACUUCAAGUGAUACUUCCGCUACAUUGACAGUUACUUCAAGGGAUGCCACCUUUUACUGGACAUCAAGUGAUACCACCGCUUCCUCAACUACAUCAACAGUCACUUCAAGUGAUGCUACCACUACAUCGACAGUCUCUUCAAGUGAUACCACCACUACAUCAACAGUCACUUCAAGUGAUGCUACCACUACAUCGACAGUCCCUUCAAGUGAUCCCACCAAUACCUCGACAAUAACAGUCACUUCAAGAAAUGACACCUCUCCCUCGACAUCAACAGUCACUUCAAGGGAUGCCACCAAUACAUUGACAGUCGCAUCAAGUGAUGCUACCACUACAUUUACAGUCUCUUCAAGUGAUACCAACUCUCCCUCGACUUCAACAGUCACUUCAAGUGAUGCCUCCACUCCCUCGAUUUCAACAGUCACUUCAAGUGAUGCCACCACUACAUCGACAGUAUCUUCAAAUGAUUCCAACUCUCCCUCGACUUCAACAGUCCCUUCAAGUGAUGCCACCACUACAUCAACAGCCACCUCAAGUGAUGCUACCACUACAUCGACAGUCCCUUCAAGUGAUACCAAAACUCCCUCGACAUUAACAGUCACUUCAAGUAAUGCCACGUCUCCCUCGACAUCAACAGUCACUUCAAGUGAUACUACCAACACAUCGACAGUCUCUACAAGUGAUGCCUCCACUCCUUCGACAUCAACAGUCACUUCAAGUGAUGCCACCACUACAUCAACAGUCACUUCAAGUGAUGCUACCACUGCAUCGACAGUCCCUUCAAGUGAUACCACCACUCCCUCAACAUCAACAGUCACUUCAAGUGAUGCCACCAUUACAUCGACAGUCUCUACAAGUGAUGCCUCCACUGCUUCGACUUCAACCGUCACUUCAAGUGAUGCCACCACUACAUUAACAGUCACUUCAAGUAAUGCCACGUCUCCCUCGACAUCAACAGUCACUUCAAGAAAUGCCACCAAUACAUUGACAGUCUCUACAAGUGAUGCCUCCACUCCUUCGACAUUGACAGUCACUUCAAGUGAUGCUACCACUUCAUUGACAGCUACUUCAAGUGAUGCCACCUUUUACUGGACAUCAAGUGAUGCCACCACUUCCUCAACUACAUCAAUAGUCAUUCCAAGUGAUGUCACCUCUCACUCUACAUCAACAGUCACUUCAAGUAGUGCCACCACUACAUCGACAGUCAUUCCAAGUGAUGCCACCACUCACUCGACAUCAACAGUCACUUCAAGAGAUGCCACAUCUCCCUCGACAUCAAACGUCACGCCAAGUGAUGCCACCACUUCCUCAACUACAUCAACAGUCACUUCAAGUGAUGCUACCACUACAUCGACAGUCUCUUCAAGUGAUGCCUCCACUCCUUCGACUUCAACAGUCACUUCAAGUGAUACCACCUCUCCUUUGACAUCAACAGUCACUUCAAGUGAUGCCACCUCUCCUUUGACAUCAACAGUCACUUCAAGUGAUGCCACCUCUCCCUCGACAUCAACAGUAUUUUCAAGUGAUGACACCACUCCCUCGACAUUAAAAGUCACUUCAAGUAAUGCCACGUCUACCUCGACAUCAACAGUCACUUCAAGUGAUGCCACCAAUACAUCAACAGUCACUUCAAGUGAUGCUACCACUACAUUGACAGUCACAUCAAGUGAUGCUACCACUACAUCGACAGUCCCUUCAAGUGAUCCCACCACUUCCUCGACAUUAACAGUCACUUCAAGAAAUGCCACCUCUCCCUCGACAUCAACAGUCACUUCAAGUGAUGCCACCAAUACAUCAACAGUCACUUCAAGUGAUGCUACCACUACAUUGACAGUCACAUCAAGUGAUGCUACCACUACAUCGACAGUCUCUUCAAGUGAUGCCUCCACUCCUUCAACUUUAACAGUCACUUCAAGUGAUGCAACCUCUACAUCAACAGUCACUUCAAGUGAUGCCACCAAUACAUCAACAGUCACUUCAAGUGAUGCUACCACUACAUUGACAGUCACAUCAAGUGAUGCUACCACUACAUCGACAGUCUCUUCAAGUGAUGCCUCCACUCCUUCAACUUUAACAGUCUCUUCAAGUGAUGCCUCCACUCCUUCAACUUUAACAGUCACUUCAAGUGAUGCCACCACUACAUCAACAGUCACUUCAAGUGAUCCCACCACUACAUCGACAGUCCCUUCAAUUGAUCCCACCACUACCUCGGCAUUAACAGUCACUUCAAGUGAUGUCACCACUCCCUCAACAUCAACCGUCACUUUAAGUGAUGCAACCUCUCCCUCAACUACAUCUACAGUCACGCCAUGUAAUGCCACCUCUCCCUCGACAUCAACAGUCAGUUCAAGUGAUACUUCCACUACAGCAAUAGUCAUUCCAAGUGAUGUCACCUCUCCCUCUACAUCAACAGUCACUUCAAGUAGUGCCACCACUACAUCGACAGUCAUUCCAAGUGAUGCCACCACUCACUCGACAUCAACAGUCACUUCAAGAGAUGCCACAUCUCCCUCGACAUCAAACGUCACGCCAAGUGAUGCCACCACUUCCUCAACCACAUCAACAGUCACUUCAAGAAAUGACACCUCUCCCUCGACAUUAACAGUCACUUCAAGUGAUACCACCAAUACAUCGACAGUCUCUACAAGUGAUGCCACCACUCCCUCAACUACAUCUACAGUCAUGCCAAGUAAUGCCACCUCUAAGUCAACAUCAACAGUCACUUCAAGUGAUACUUCCGCUACAUUGACAGUUACUUCAAGGGAUGCCACCUUUUACUGGACAUCAAGUGAUACCACCGCUUCCUCAACUACAUCAACAGUCACUUCAAGUGAUGCUACCACUACAUCGACAGUCUCUUCAAGUGAUGCCUCUACUCCUUCGACUUCAACAGUCACUUCAAGUGAUACCACCGCUUCCUCAACUACAUCAACAGUCACUUCAAGUGAUGCUACCACUACAUCGACAGUCCCUUCAAGUGAUCCCACCAAUACCUCGACAAUAACAGUCACUUCAAGAAAUGACACCUCUCCCUCGACAUCAACAGUCACUUCAAGUGAUACCACCACUACAUCAACAGUCACUUCAAGAAAUGCCACCAAUACAUCGACAGUCUCUACAAGUAAUGCCUCCACUCCUUCGACAUCAACAGUCACUUCAAGUGAUGCUGCCACUACAUUGACAGUCACUUCAAGUGAUGCUACCACUACAUUGACAGUCUCUUCAAGUGAUGCCACCACUCCCUCAACAUCAACAGUCACUUCAAGUGAUGCAACCUCUAACUCAACUACAUCUACAGUCACGCCAAGUAAUGCCACCUCUAAGUCAACAUCAACAGUCAGUUCAAGAGAUACUACCACCACAGCAACAGUCAGUUCAAUUGAUGCUACCACUACAUUGUCAGUAUCUUCAAGUGAUGCCACCUCUCCCUCGACUUCAACAGUCACUUCAAGUGAUGCUACCACUGCAUCGACAGUCCCUUCAAGUGAUACCACCACUCCCUCGACAUUAACAGUCACUUCAAGUAUUGCCACGUCUCCCUCGACAUCCACAGUCACUUCAAGUGAUACUACCACUACAUCGACAGUAUCUUCAAAUGAUACCAACUCUCCCUCGACUUCAACAGUCACUUCAAGUGAUGCCACCACUACAUCAACAGUCACCUCAAGUGAUGCUACCACUACAUCGACAGUCCCUUCAAGUGAUCCCACCACUACCUCGACAAUAACAGUCACUUCAAGAAAUGACACCUGUCCCUCGACAUCAACAGUCACUUCAAGGGAUGCCACCAAUACAUUGACAGUCGCAUCAAAUGAUGCUACCACUACAUUUACAGUCUCUUCAAGUGAUACCAACUCUCCCUCGACUUCAACAGUCACUUCAAGUGAUGCCUCCACUCCCUCGACUUCAACAGUCACUUCAAGUGAUGCAACCACUACAUCGACAGUAUCUUCAAGUGAUGCCUCCACUCCCUCGACUUCAACAGUCACUUCAAGUGAUGCCACCACUACAUCGACAGUAUCUUCAAAUGAUACCAACUCUCCCUCGAUUUCAACAGUCACUUCAAGAAAUGACACCUCCCCCUCGACAUCAACAGUCACUUCAAGUGAUGCCACCACUACAUCAACAGUCACCUCAAGUGAUGCUACCACUACAUCGACAGUCCCUUCAAGUGAUACCAAAACUCCCUCGACAUUAACAGUCACUUCAAGUAAUGCCACGUCUCCCUCGACAUCAACAGUCACUUCGAGUGAUACUACCACUACAGCAACAGUCACUUCAAGUGAUGCCACCACUACAUCGACAGUAUCUUCAAAUGAUACCAACUCUCCCNNNNNNNNNNNNNNNNNNNNNNNNNNCCCUCGACAUCAACAGUCACUUCAAGUGAUGCCACCACUACAUCAACAGUCACCUCAAGUGAUGCUACCACUACAUCGACAGUCCCUUCAAGUGAUACCAAAACUCCCUCGACAUUAA